UCUGGUUGAUCCUGCCAGUAGUCAUAUGCUUGUCUCAAAGAUUAAGCCAUGCAUGUCUAAGUAUAAAUAGUAUACAGUGAAACUGCGAAUGGCUCAUUAAAACAGUUAUAGUUUAUUUGAUAAUUGACAAUUACAUGGAUAACCGUGGUAAUUCUAGAGCUAAUACAUGCUUAAACGCCCGACUUUAUGGAAGGGUGGUAUUUAUUAGACUGAAGCCAAUAUUCCUUGUGUCUAUUGCGGUGAUUCAUAAUAACUGAUCGAAUCUCUUUUUGAGAUAAAUCAUUCAAGUUUCUGCCCUAUCAGCUUUCGAUGGUAGUGUAUUGGACUACCAUGGCAGUAACGGGUAGCGAAGAAUUAGGGUUCGAUUUCGGAGAGGGAGCAUGAGAAACGGCUACCACAUCUAAGGAAGGCAGCAGGCGCGUAAAUUACCCAAUCCUGACUCAGGGAGGUAGUGACAAGAAAUAGCAAACCGGGAACCUCAUGGUUUCACGGUAUUGCAAUGAGAACAAUUUAAAACCCUUAGCGAGAAUCAAGUGGAGGACAAGUCUGGUGCCAGCACCCGCGGUAAUUCCAGCUCCACUAGCGUAUAUUAAAGUUGUUGCAGUUAAAAAGCUCGUAGUUGAACCUCUGUCUGGGGCUAGUUUUGGCUUUGGUCAGGCUAGUUCUAGGCAUCCGCCUACAAGACUUAGAGGCAUUCAGUUGUUCACUAGGAGGAGUAGGCAUUUUACUUUGAAAAAAUUAGAGUGUUUAAGGCAGGCAAUCGCCCGCAUAUAUUAGCAUGGAAUAAUAGAAUAGGACACUUUUCCAUUUCGUUGGUUAUUGGAAUCGUGUAAUGAUUAAUAGGGACAGUUGUGGGCAUUUGUAUUUAAUUGUCAGAGGUGAAAUUCUUGGAUUUAUUAAAGACAAACUAACGCGAAAGCAUUUGCCAAGGAUGUUUUCAUUAAUCAAGAACGAAAGUUAGGGGAUCAAAGACGAUCAGAUACCGUCCUAGUCUUAACUAUAAACUAUUCCGACUCAAUGUUUGACUGGCUUAUAUAACCAGUUGAGCGUUGUAUGAGAAAUCAAAGUCUUUAGGUUCUGGGGGGAGUAUGGUUGCAAAGCUGAAACUUAAAGGAAUUGACGGAAGAGCACAACCAGGAGUGGAUUCUGCGGCUUAAUUUGACUCAACACGGGGAAACUUACCAGGUUAAAACAAUAGUGGGAUUGACAGUUUGAGAGCGCUUUCUUGAUUGGUUGGGUGGUGGUGCAUGGCCGUUCUUAGUUGGUGGAGUGAUUUGUCUGCUUAAUUGCGUUAACGAACGAGACCUUAACCUGCUUACUAGACUGGCGAUCAUCAAUCGUUAGCUCUUCUUAGAGGGACUUUGGUUGUUUUAACUCCAAGGAAG
rnacentral:rRNA from 1 species